GAUGAAGAACGCAGCGAAAUGCGAUAAGUAAUGUGAAUUGCAGAAUUCAGUGAAUCAUCGAAUCUUUGAACGCACCUUGCGCCCUUUGGCUAUUCCGAAGGGCAUGCCUGUUUGAGUAUCAUGAACACCUCAACUCUUCACGGCUUGCCGUGAUGCGUUUGGACUUUGGGGGUCUUGCUGGCCUACGAGCCAGCUCCUCUCAAAUGUAUUAGCUUGCCGGUGUUUGGUGGCAUCACAGGUGUGAUAACUAUCUACGCUUGUGGUUUUCCACUAGGUAACCUUCAGCAAUGGAGGUUCACCGGAGCUCACAAAUGUCUCUCCUUGCCAAGGACAGAUUUUGACCAUUUGAUCUCAAAUCAGGUAGGACUACCCGCUGAACUUAAGCAUAUCAAUAAGCGGAGGA
rnacentral:misc_RNA from 1 species